rnacentral:rRNA from 1 species
AGUGAACGCUGGCGGCGUGCCUAAUACAUGCAAGUCGAACGGACAAGUAAGAGCUUGCUCUUAUGAGUUAGUGGCGCACGGGUGAGUAAUGUAUAGCUAAUCUGCCCUACACUAGAGGACAACAGUUGGAAACGACUGCUAAUACUCUAUACACCUCUCUAGCAUAAGUUAGAUAGGGAAAGUUUUUCGGUGUAGGAUGAGGCUAUAUUGUAUCAGCUAGUUGGUGAGGUAAUGGCUCACCAAGGCUAUGACGCAUAACUGGUCUGAGAGGAUGAUCAGUCACACUGGAACUGAGACACGGUCCAGACUCCUACGGGAGGCAGCAGUAGGGAAUAUUGCUCAAUGGGGGAAACCCUGAAGCAGCAACGCCGCGUGGAGGAUGACACUUUUCGGAGCGUAAACUCCUUUUGUUAGGGAAGAACAAUGACGGUACCUAACGAAUAAGCACCGGCUAACUCC